rnacentral:rRNA from 1 species
AGAGUUUGAUCCUGGCUCAGGACAAACGCUGGCGGCGUGCCUAACACAUGCAAGUCAAGGAGAACGUCCCCUUCGGGGGACUAUUAAACUGGCGGACGGGUGAGUAACGCGUAGGUAACCUGCCCCAGAGACCGGGACAACCCAUCGAAAGACGGGCUAAUACCGGAUGAUGCAGCGGAUCCUCAGGGAUAUGUUGUUAAAGGGGGCCUUCGGGUCCUGCUUUGGGAUGGGCCUGCGUCCGAUUAGUUAGUUGGUAAGAUAAAAGCUUACCAAGGCGAUGAUCGGUAGCUGGUCUGAGAGGAUGAUCAGCCACACUGGGAUUGAGAUACGGCCCAGACUCCUACGGGAGGCAGCAGUGGGGAAUCUUGCGCAAUGGGCGAAAGCCUGACGCAGCAACGCCGCGUGACUGAUGAAGCUUCUAGGAGUGUAAAGGUCUGUCGUGAGGGAAGAACAGUAUCCAUGUAAAUAGCAUGGGCAUUUGACGGUACCUCACAAGAAAGCACCGGCUAACUUCGUGCCAGCAGCCGCGGUAAUACGAGGGGUGCUAGCGUUGUCCGGAAUUACUGGGCGUAAAGGGUUCGUAGGCGUCUUGCCAAGUUGAUCGUUACAGCCACCGGCUUAACCGGUGAUCUGCGAUCAAAACUGGUAAGAUAGAAUAUGUGAGGGGAAUGUGGAAUUCCUGGUGUAGCGGUGACAUGCGUAGAUAUCAGGAGGAACACCAAUGGCGAAGGCAGCUUUCUGGCUCGAUACUGACGCUGAGGGACGAAAGCGUGGGGAGCGAACAGGAUUAGAUACCCUGGUAGUCCACGCCGUAAACGAUGAGUACUUGAUGUCGGAGGAUUCGACCCCUUCGGUAUCGUAGCUAACGCGAUAAGUA